UCAUUAUGAUGAUCAAAAAAGAGAAUUCUGCAAUACUGACAAUUUCCCUCUGCACGAGGCGAAGUUGAUUGUUGACAAACUCUACACUUGACCUGAUU
rfam:Talaromyces stipitatus ATCC 10500 scf_1105507295523 genomic scaffold, whole genome shotgun sequence.